rnacentral:rRNA from 1 species
AUUGAACGCUGGCGGAAUGCUUUACACAUGCAAGUCGAACGGCAGCACGGACUUCGGUCUGGUGGCGAGUGGCGAACGGGUGAGUAAUACAUCGGAACGUGCCCAAUCGUGGGGGAUAACGUAGCGAAAGCUACGCUAAUACCGCAUACGAUCUAAGGAUGAAAGCGGGGGAUCGCAAGACCUCGCGCGAAUGGAGCGGCCGAUGGCAGAUUAGGUAGUUGGUAGGGUAAAGGCCUACCAAGCCGACGAUCUGUAGCUGGUCUGAGAGGAUGAUCAGCCACACUGGGACUGAGAAACGGCCCAGACUCCUACGGGAGGCAGCAGUGGGGAAUUUUGGACAAUGGACGCAAGUCUGAUCCAGCCAUUCCGCGUGCAGGAUGAAGGCCCUCGGGUUGUAAACUGCUUUUGUACAGAACGAAAAGGCUCUGGUUAGUACCUGGGGCUCGUGACGGUACUGUAAGAAUAAGCACCGGCUAACUACGUGCCAGCAGCCGCCGUAACAC